CCGGAUCCUUAAGCCACUGAGUGAGGCCAGGGAUCGAACCCCCAACCUCAUGGUUCCUAGUCGGAUUCAUUACCACUGCUUCUUAUUGGGAACUCCAAGGAUUGGUAUUAAUUCAUCUUUAAAUGUGUGAUAGAAUUCGCUGCUGAAGCCAUGUAGGACUAGACUUUCCUUUGUGGGAAGUUUUAAAAUUGCUAAUUAAAUCUCUUUACUUGUAUGUCUAUUUAGAUAUUUUACUUUUUCUUAUUCUAUUCCAGUUGUUUGUGUUUUUCUGGAGAUUUGUCUGUUUCAUCUAGGUUAUGAAAUUUAGUGGAAUAUGAUUAUUCAUAGUAUUCCCUUACAAUACUUUUUAUUUUUAUGAGGUUGAUGCUGAGGCCCCCUUUUAUUCUUAAUUUCAGUCAUUUGAGUACUUUCAUGUUAUUUGGUCAGCCUAGCUAAAGGUUCAUUUUGUUGAUAUUUUUCAAAGCACUAACUUUUGAUUUCAUUGGUGUUCACAAUUAUUUCUAUUCUGUAUUUUACUUAUUUGUGAUCUAAUCUUUAUUGUUUUCUUCCUUCUGCUUGCUUUUGUUUUAGUUUAUUCUUCUUUUUCUAGUUUCUUGAGGUAGAAGUUCAGGUUAUUGAUUUGAGAUCUUUAUUCUUCUUAUAAAUAUAAACAUGAUAACUAUGAGUUCCCCACUGUUGUUUUAGCUACAUCGCAUGAGUUUUGGUAUGUUGUGCUUUUGUUUUCCUUUAUCUCAAAUUAUUUUGUAAUUUGCAUUGUAAUUUCUUCUUUGACUCAUUUGUUAAGAAAUUUUUAUUUAAUGUUCAUGUAUCUGUGAAUAUUUAUCAAAUUUCCUUCUGUUAAAUGACUUUUCAUUCUAUUCCAUUACAUUAUGGUCAAAGAAUGUAUUCUGUAUAAUUUAGAUGCAUGUAAAUUUAUUGGAUGUUUAAUGGCCUCCUAACAUAUAUUCCUAGCAUAUCCUGAGAAGAAGUAUAUUUUUUGGUGUUUAGUAAGAGACAAAAUGGACUUAGAGACAAAAUUUGUAAGUAGAGACAAAAAAUAUAUCUGUAUAUGUAUAUAUAUAUAUAUAUAUAUUUUAUAUAUAUGUGCACCUGAGAAGAUAUAUAUUUUUCUAGUUUUGACUAGAGUAUUCUAUAGAUGUCUGUUAUAUUUAAUUGGUUUAUAGUGUUUAUGUUUUCUCUUUCCUUGUUGACUGCCUGUCUGAUUGUUCUACUCAUUGUUGAAAAUGGAGUAAUUGAAGUUUUCGAAUAUUGUAGAAUUCUCUAUUUCACCCUUUAAUUUAUGUAUUUUACUUCACAUUUUAGGGGACGCUCUUGCUGAUGCAUUAUGCUUAUCAUUAUUUUGUCUUCUUGAUGGUCUGACCCUUUUAUUAUGUCAUUUUUUGUCUCUACUUACAAAUUUUGUCUCUAAGUCCAUUUUGUCUCUUACUAAACAUCAAUGUAGCUACUCCAGCUCUCCUUUGGAUACUGUUUGUAUGGUAUAUAUUUUUCUAUCCUUUUACUUUCAACUUACUUGUGUCUUUGAAUCUGUUUUGUCUCUUGUAGAUGUCGUGUAGUUGGAUCACGUUUGCUUCACAUGACCAUUCUCUGCCUUUUGACUGAACAGAAACACACAUCCUUAUUAGGGGAACGAUAUCAUUAUUUCAUAAACUGCACAUUCAUUGCUUUAUUACAAAUUAGUUACUGAGUACUAGCAUAUUGAUUUAUCUUGUUUUUAUAAUUUAUGAAAAGGGAUUAAUUAUUCAUAUUAGAUCUAUAUUAUUUUAAUCUUGACUCUUUUUCAUACUCUAUCUUACAAGAUUAAUUUUGUCCCUUAUUUCUUAAUGUUUUUAUAAUAUUUCUGGCAGUGGUGAUUAGCAUAUCUGUUUGAAUUGAAAUAAUAAAGGCAGAAUUUUUCUGAAAGAAAGUAUAAUUUAGCUUAUUGUUUGCUAUGCACAUUUCCAUAAAUUGACCAAUUUGCCAUGCAGCUCCAUGGUUUUGAUUUCAUAGAUCUGUAUAAAAUCCAGGGAGAAAGUAUAAUGGAAAUGUGAGUUCAAAGAGAGAAAGGCCUAAAAUUUCCAAUAUUACCAAUAUUGGAAAAAAAAAAUUUACCAAUAUUUUUUCUUAUAUUUUAAAAUAGCUGGUCAUGAGUAUUAAAUUGUUAUGAUAUUCAAAUUUCAUUGGAUACAUUUAAAGUGAUACAGCAACUAUAUUUAAAGUGACAGUAUUAAAUAUGUACUGAAAAUUACCUCCUUUGUGACAAUUUCAACUUAUAAAAAAUUUUUCGGGUAGCUUAAACUGUAGAAGACAUUUAAAACUAUUCACAUAUACAAGAUAUUGUUUAUGUUUUCAAAAUAUCUCAGUUGUUUCUCAAGGAAAAAUGUUUGAAGACCAGAUCAAAGAACAAAGGCACUCUAAAUUCAUCAUCUCGGUUUGCCUUACUUACUGCUGUGUUCCCAGUGCCACUCACAUCCCCGUGAUUGAAUGAAUGAAUGUCCUGAAUGGUUAACAUUGCAAAUUACAUACUCUCUGCUUAAAGUAAAGAUGACCCUGGAGGUGGAACUUGCCCUCCCUAGGUUAGGUACUUACUCGUCCGUAGGUAGGGAGAGCGGGGUCCUGAUGGAAAUGAGGAAAGUAUACCUGCUCUCCUGACUUGAGAAGACAGCCUUGGUGUCUAGCUUUACCCUUGUCAGACCCCAGGAAAAUGAAAGAUUGAGACCUAGGUUUAAGGGAACUCAACAAAAUGUUGGGAUCCAUACCGAAUAAUUAUCUUGAAUUCUACAAGCAUUUUUUGACCGUCUACGUCUUGUCUGUCACUGUUAAGCACUGGGCAUACAAAGCUGAAGACAGAGUGCAUGAGGAGUACACUAAAGAAGUCUACUGAAGCAGGAUAAAUGGUGUAAGAGGGACAUCUUAAGUGUUUCUCCCUGUGAACUGUCUGUCCUGUGGUUCAAGAAGACAGAAUACCUCAGCAAGCGGCUGGAGAGAGGGAAAAGCAGAAAGACCUCUUGACUAGCUGGACGUAUUUCCUUGAGGCGCUUUGGAACUUAGUUCUGGCUCUGAGCUCCUUGGAAGACAAGAAUUUCAUGCUGCAUCUUCAGUACAUAGUGACAAGUCCCACACAUGGGGCAAGUUAGACACUGGAAGCUUUGAGGCUGAGCUACGAGCAGUUGCCCUCCUCCACGCAGCACCAGCAGCAUCACCAUACCUACUCUCAGAGUUUCGGUUGCAUGUAGUGAAAGCAGGGAAGUAUUUGUAUGGAAGGACUGAGUAAAUGGAGUCCUCAGUCAACUUUGUAGCCGAGAACUCCACGCAGGACAAGACAGAGACUUCCUUGUCAUUUGGUGCUUCUGUCAGUGAGUCCACUGUCGUGUCAUCAGCUUCUCAAAGGAUGCCUGGGGUCUGUGGAGAAGUCCCUUAAAGAAGUCUUCAUUCUGAAGAACUAAAACGUCCCCGGAUUCUUCUUCUUGCCUUUGAUUGCUUUGCAGAACUUUGCUGUUGUACAAGGAAUAUUUAUAUGUUGGACCAUCUUCAAUAUGGCAGAGACUAUAGCAAAUCGAGUGAUAGAAAUAUGAAUAAUAUAAGUAUAUGAUGCCUGCUCUGGAAAAGCUCUUGCUGUUAUGGGAUAAGAUGCAAUAAUGUACAGCACACAUCAUGGUCCUUUGCUCAAUCAGAACCUGCAAAAAAGUGCCCAACGGAGCUGACAUUUUGAUUUCCACCUUGGAGGACCCUAAGGAGAUCAUCAAGUGACCUCAGCCAGAUGUCCUAACAACAGUAAGAUGAUAAGUAGGCAUGGUUUAUUUUUAUUGUUAUUUAAUUUUUGUCUGUAUUUUCUUGAAGUUUUCUUGAUUUCCAGCAUAUCAGAUGUACAGCAAAAUGAUUCAGUUAUCAACAUAAAUAUAUAUGUGUAUAUAUUCAUAUAUUUUCAGAUUAUUUUCCAUCAUAGGUUAUUACAAGGUAGUGAAUAUAGUUUCCUGUG